UACGUAGGGUGCGAGCGUUGUCCGGAAUUACUGGGCGUAAAGGGCGCGUAGGCGGCUUUGUAAGUCGGGGGUGAAAGCCUGUGGCUCAACCACAGAAUUGCCUUCGAUACUGCAUGGCUUGAGACCGGAAGAGGUUAGUGGAACUGCGAGUGUAGAGGUGAAAUUCGUAGAUAUUCGGAAGAACACCAGUGGCGAAGGCGGCUCACUGGACGACUGUUGACGCUGAGGUGCGAAAGCGUGGGGAGCAAACAGG
rnacentral:rRNA from 1 species